AGGAGCUGAGCUGGCUGGGGUUGCAGUUCUGAACCUGAGCUUAACUGGGAGGAACCAUGAAGACAUCCAUGGGAACUUUAAUCAUGUUCUCCUGGCUGCAGCUGAACUGGUUCAGCCAAGGAGAGAAUGUGGAGCAGCAUCCUUCUACCCUGAGUGUCCAGGAGGGAAGCAGCUCUGUUAUCAACUGCAGUUAUUCAGACAGUUAUUCAGACUAUUUCCCCUGGUAUAAGCAAGAACCUGGAAAAGGCCCCCAGCUCCUUGUAUACAUUCUUUCAAGCAUGGCCACAAAAGAAGAACAAAGACUUACUGUUUUAUUGAAUAAGACUGCCAAACGUUUCUCCCUGCACAUCAGAGACACCCAGCCUGAAGACUCAGCAGUGUACUUCUGCGCAGCAAGCACACAUUGAUUUCCAGGCACCUGCUGCCUGCUCUCAAACGUGGGAUUGGGGCAGCCCUGUCCUUUGACAUAGACCUCCAAAGAUAGCUUUUGUGCUCUUGUUAUCCACAAGUGGAAGCUAACAUAUUAGACAUAAAUAGGUUAUAAGAGAAAGAGUAAGCUCAUGAUGAACUGGACAGAGUUAGAGCAUUUUGUUAGAUGAAUGUUGCUGAAUGGAUUCUUGAAGGCAGUUAGUAAUGUUUUAUUGUGAGGUUUGGGUUUUAAAGAUGAUUUUACAUUUGCUAUUCAGAACCCUGUCAUACAAAUAAAUUUUAAUACAUUAGCACAUCCUAUUAUGGAUAAAGUUUUAAUUCUUGUCUUUCAAAUGUUACAA